rnacentral:rRNA from 1 species
AAGAACCUUACCUGGUCUUGACAUCCACGGAAUUUGGCAGAGAUGCCUUAGUGCCUUCGGGAACCGUGAGACAGGUGCUGCAUGGCUGUCGUCAGCUCGUGUUGUGAAAUGUUGGGUUAAGUCCCGCAACGAGCGCAACCCUUAUCCUUUGUUGCCAGCGGUCCGGCCGGGAACUCAAAGGAGACUGCCAGUGAUAAACUGGAGGAAGGUGGGGAUGACGUCAAGUCAUCAUGGCCCUUACGACCAGGGCUACACACGUGCUACAAUGGCAUAUACAAAGAGAAGCGACCUCGCGAGAGCAAGCGGACCUCAUAAAGUAUGUCGUAGUCCGGAUUGGAGUCUGCAACUCGACUCCAUGAAGUCGGAAUCGCUAGUAAUCGUGGAUCAGAAUGCC